ACAAAUUUGUACAAAUCUGUACAUGUACCACAAGUACCAAUCUGAUCCAGGUCGGAAGAGAACAAACAAGUUUAUUUCUCUUGAACCUGCCUUGUGGCUGGUCUUUAUGCUGCGUUUACCCUUGCACUGGCCUUUUGCUGGCUGCAAGACAACAAGCAGUUUCUGUCAGCAUAAAGCUGGGUGUUGAAGAUAGCCCAUCAACAUUUUUGGAACCAGCGCAAAACCAGUGUCAGCACUUGGAAUACAAAUCCAUCCGGGCUGCAUUUGAUCCUAUAGGAGGAGCACUGUAUCACUGAACCACAGCCUCAGAAGUGUGCCCUAAAUGCAAGAAGAUUGCCUUAUGAGGUCAUUUUGCCUCAAUCUCUCCUUUUGGAUCUGUUCCACUUUGCUUGCAAUGCUUGAAUAUUCACUGAGUCAGAGAGCAUGAGAAUAACUCUUUAGUGAAGGGCUUAGGGCAUUUGCCGGAGAGGGGACACACAUGGGUGCAGCAUGGACCAAAGCAUGUCAGCAAAGUGUAAGAGUGUCAGCGGGAGAAUGUGAAAUAACCAAAGACAACAGGUGAUUGAGAGCAGCUAACAGCAAGGCUCUGGCACCCACAGAGGUUUAAAGACAGUCUCCAUAGUUCUGUGGUCUUAUAGGUCUGUUCUGCAUAUUGGAAUUUGAAGAGAUUUUGUAAAAUAGCCAAACACUCGACAGUCAACCCCCUAUACACCAUUCAGAAGAAAGAAGCCUCCUCCAGAAGCCUGUCUGCAGUUAGGGAGGAAGCUCUGUGGGGAUUUUCCACUUGUUCCAGGAGGCUCUGAGUUUAGUCUGUGCCAUAGGGAAUGGUGUCAGGUAGCCAUAGAUCCUAUGGUUCCUACCCAAAGCCCAGCAGUCAGCAGCAGAAAAUGGGAGGUCAGCAAGAAUGGGGUUAAAUCCUCAACCACAUUUCCUCAUGUCACAUAUGUCUCAGCUGCCAUGCACCCCACAGCCCUACCUAGCUGUACCUUUUAGGUCAGAAAUUGCCCCCUUACUUAGGCUGGACAUACCACAAUAGAAGGCAUCACACUUCAUGCAGUCCUGGAGCUACCUCACUUGGAGCCAGCAUAAGCUACAACACAAUGCUGUGUUGUACCAUCUAUAAAAUAGAAAGGUCUUGACAGAGAUGUGUACCACGGGAGAAAGCAAAAAAAUCGCUCGGUGGUGGUGCUGUUUUUUCAGCUAAAACCCACAGGCACUAUGACUAGGAGUAAAGCAAAGCCCUUUCUUUACAGGGUGGUCACAUAAUCCUAAUGUAAGUUAUUUUUAAAAACAGUGAUUAAACUACUGUAAACCACAGUGUGGUCACUUUCAGUUCAAUUUAACAUUGGCCAGCAUGGAUGACAGCUCAUAUUGAUUCUUGUCUGCCCAAUCUAAAUUGAUAUAAGCCUGAUUUCAAAUGAACUGAGCUGUCUGAAGAGUGUUGUGCACUUGUUUAAGUUCAUAAAUUUAGAGGAAAAUCUUUGAACAAAUGGCAGCGGUUUUCUCACAAAGACAAAACUCACAGCUCAGUACUAACUUUGACAGUUUUCCCAUUAACUAUCACUACAGACAGCUUAGGAAAGUUAUUUGGGGAUCAGAAUGGUCAAUAUUUUGCCUAAGUAAAUAUAUAACACAGACAACCUAGAAAGAGAUACUUAUUUUUUGUGACAGCAAUAAGACUGAUAAAUAAUUGGCCAGAGAGUUAAACUAGAUUAUUUUCUUCAUUAUAGGUAAUCUAAACUCUAAGUUGUCUCUAUAGACAAAAUUAA